UACGGGGGGAGCAAGCGUUGUUCGGAUUUACUGGGCGUAAAGGGCGCGUAGGCGGCCACCGCAAGUCGACUGUGAAAUCUCCGGGCUUAACCCGGAAAGGUCAGCCGAUACUGCGGGGCUAGAGUGCAGAAGGGGCAACUGGAAUUCUCGGUGUAGCGGUGAAAUGCGCAGAUAAUCAGGAGGAACACCGGUGGCGAAGGCGGAUCUCUGGGCCUUACCUGACGCUCAGGCGCGAAAGCUAGGGGAGCGAACUGG
rnacentral:rRNA from 1 species